rnacentral:lncRNA from 1 species
CUGCUACCAACCUCUGGGCUGCAGCAGUGUAUUGUCCAUAACCCAAAUAAGCUUUUGAUCCCACAAAAGGAAUCUGGAAAUAAAUCAUGGGGCAGAUGUUUUGACCUUCACAUCAGUGGAUAUUUUUCUAGGUAUUUUGCUUUUCAGGAAAGCAGAGUCUUGAUGAUAUAUCUAGUGACUCAACUUAUAAACAGGAAGCCAAAGCAAGGUGCCUAA